rnacentral:rRNA from 1 species
UGGGGGGCAACUCCGAGGGCCGAGCGGCGGACGGGUGAGUAACACGUGGGGAACCUGCCUGAGGGCCUGGGAUAACCCUUCGAAAGGGGGGCUAAUACCGGGUACGCUCCUUUGGCCACAAGGCUGGGGGAGGAGAGGGGGGGCGCAAGUCCUCUCGCCCACAGAGGGUCCCGCGGCCCAUUAGCUAGUUGGGGGGGUAACGGCCUCCCAAGGCGAUGAUGGGUAGCCGGUCUGAGAGGAUGGCCGGCCACACGGGGACUGAGAGACGGCCCCGACUCCUACGGGAGGCAGCAGUGGGGAAUCUUCCGCAAUGGGCGCAAGCCUGACGGAGCAACGCCGCGUGGGGGACGAAGGCCUUCGGG